CGGAAGGUCCGGGCGUUAUCCGGAUUUAUUGGGUUUAAAGGGAGCGUAGGCCGGAGAUUAAGCGUGUUUGUGAAAUGUAGACGCUCAACGUCUGCACUGCAGCGCGAACUGGUUUCCUUGAGUACGCACAAAGUGGGCGGAAUUCGUGGUGUAGCGGUGAAAUGCUUAGAUAUCACGAAGAACUCCGAUUGCGAAGGCAGCUCACUGGAGCGCAACUGACGCUGAAGCUCGAAAGUGCGGGUAUCGA
rnacentral:rRNA from 1 species